GCGGAGGAUCGGAUGGCCGCGAGCGGGGUAACCCGUUCGAGGAAAGUCCGGACUCCAUCAAGGCACGGUACCGGGUAACGCCCGGGCAGGGUAACCUGACGGAGAGCGCCACAGAGAACAGACCGCCCCGUAAAGCGGGGUAAGGGUGAAACGGUGGAGUAAGAGACCACCGCGGCGGUGGCAACAUCGCUGGCAUGGCAAGCCCUACCGGGAGCAAUGCCAAAUAGGGGCCGCGCGUGAAGGGCAACCUUCGCAGGAUCGUCUUGAUCCGAGCAGGUCCGGGUUGGCAGCUAGAGGGUGUCUGGUAACAGGCACCUUAGAUGAAUGGUCAUCGAACCGUUUCGUCUUUCGAGGCGAGCGGGGAACAAAAUCCGGCUUAUAGAUCCUCCGCGUAU
rnacentral:RNase_P_RNA from 1 species